rnacentral:rRNA from 1 species
CCUACGGGAGGCUGCAGUGGGGAAUAUUGGACAAUGGGCGAAAGCCUGAUCCAGCCAUGCCGCGUGUGUGAAGAAGGCCUUCGGGUUGUAAAGCACUUUCAGUGGGGAAGAAAGCCUUGGGGCUAAUACCCUCGAGGAAGGACAUCACCCACAGAAGAAGCACCGGCUAACUCCGUGCCAGCAGCCGCGGUAAUACGGAGGGUGCGAGCGUUAAUCGGAAUUACUGGGCGUAAAGCGCGCGUAGGCGGUCUGAUAAGCCGGGUGUGAAAGCCCCGGGCUCAACCUGGGAACGGCAUCCGGAACUGUCAGGCUAGAGUGCAGGAGAGGAAGGUAGAAUUCCCGGUGUAGCGGUGAAAUGCGUAGAGAUCGGGAGGAAUACCAGUGGCGAAGGCGGCCUUCUGGGCUGAUACUGACGCUGAGGUGCGAAAGCGUGGGUAGCAAACAGGAUUAGAUACCCGGGUAGUC